rnacentral:piRNA from 1 species
UGAGAAUUGUAGCACAGCUACAGAGGUCCCU